GACGAACGCUGGCGGCGUGCUUAACACAUGCAAGUCGAACGGAGUGGCGAACGGGUGAGUAACACGUGGGUGACCUGCCCUGCACUUCGGGAUAAGCCUGGGAAACUGGGUCUAAUACCGGGUAGUGUGGGAUGGGCCCGCGGCCUAUCAGCUUGUUGGUGGGGUAAUGGCCUACCAAGGCGGCGACGGGCGGCGGGCCUGAGAGGGUGGACGGACACAUUGGGACUGGGAUCCGGCCCAGGCUCGUACGGGGGGCAGCAGUGGGGAAUAUGGCACAAUGGGCGGGAGCCGGGUGCAGGGAAAAAGCGUGGGGGAUGACGGCCUUCGGGUUGUAAACUCCUUUCACCAUCGACGCGGAAGAUGGAGAAGAAGCACCGGGUAACUACGUGCCAGCAGCCGCGGUAAUAC
rnacentral:rRNA from 1 species